rnacentral:lncRNA from 1 species
UAAGCGGUUGAAAUACAAAGGCUUUGAAAAGUUUUUUUCUGAAGAAAUCUUUUGAUUCCUCCUUUCUAUUCUGAAAAUUUUCUUUUAGAAUUAAGGGUCUUAAAGUCCAGAAGCAGCUAAGGAAUAGAGCUGCAUUAUUAUAAUCUAAAAAAAACUAGAAAGAAAAGAGGAAAAGCUGGCAGUCACUGUUCGAUUGCUCCUUGGUCUUUAUAUUUGACUUUCUUUCUUGAAAGUUGAAUGCAUCACUCUCUUUCUGAGUUUAAAUGAUGAGUUCAACUGUUUAAAGUUGGCUAUUCAUUGCUGUUUCAAGAGCUGUUGCUGCUGUUAGUUUAUUUUUUCUUGAAUCCUCUUUUCUUUGUUUCCUUUAGCUAGAUGGAAGUUUGAUUAACAUUUGUGUUGUAAAGUUUGAGCCCCUCUUAAGGUUGCUGGAUCUCUCUCAAACUUUCUUCAUGGAGAAUAUCUGGCUUAGUAGCCUCUGUUUGGGCAGUGCUAUUCUCCUUGAUAUUUCAAGGCUAUUUGAUGUCUGUUUUGUUUUAACAUAAGAAGUCACAAUUAUUGCAAAAAUCUGGAUUCUGUUUGCUCACUGAUUGGCUUGAAAUGGAAAGAGGUUUUAGUUCAAAAAAUGAUGUAGAGAUUUGGGGCUCAUAAAUUUGAAAACUACUCCUAUAUUACUUGUUCAUGAGCAUUAUAGUAUUUUACGACUUAUGGGUUAAAUUUUUGGUAAAGUUUUCUUUUAGUUUCGGUAGACUUAUAGCUUUACCAUGUUUUGAAUCCAUCUUUCUUUGGCUAUUGGGGUUCGCAUGCCUAUUGGUAGGGGAUGAUGUGAAUAAAGUUUUCAGUCAAUUUUUUUUUUUGUGAAGUGUUGGAGUGAUACAUAUGUAAUGCGAUAUUUCAUCUCCUAAGAAGCCUAUUCGAAUCCGAUACAGUCUUUAUAUUUCCACCUUACAUUAGCGAUGAG